CUGUCGUUCCAAUUGAAGUGUUCCUCAAAUAUUGAUUCAAUACAUUACCUCGGGCUGACCAAUUCAUUUGAUCAAGUUCCUCGAGAUAUUCAUACACUUCCUGUGAAAGAGCCAAUUCCAAGUAUUUGAUCAUUUCUGGUCACUUCCUUUCUAUUUAUGAUUGGUUAGUUGCACAAACAACAAAGGUGAUUGGUGCAUUCAAA